rnacentral:rRNA from 1 species
GAUGAACGCUGGCGGCGUGCCUAAUACAUGCAAGUCGAGCGAACAGACGAGGAGCUUGCUCCUCUGACGUUAGCGGCGGACGGGUGAGUAAAACGUGGAUAAACUACCUAUAAGACUGGGGUAACUUCGGGAAACCGGAGCUAAUACAGGAUAAUAUAUUUAACCGCAUGGUUCAAUAGUGAAAGACGGUUUUGCUGUCGCUUAUAGUUGGAUCCGCGCCGCAUUAGCUAGUUGGUAAGGUAACGGCUUACCAAGGCAACGAUGCGUAGCCGACCUGAGAGGGUGAUCGGCCACACUGGAACUGAGACACGGUCCAGACUCCUACGGGAGGCAGCAGUAGGGAAGCUGCCGCAAUGGGCGAAUGCCUGACGGAGCAACGCCGCGUGAGUGAUGAAGGUCUUCGGAUCGUAAAACUCUGUUAUUAGGGAGGAACAAAUGUGUAAGUAACUAUGCACGUCUUGACGGUACCUAAUCAGAAAGCCACGGCUAACUACGUG